ACAUUGGCGUGAAAGAAGAAACUCUCAGCUGAAAUCCGUGUCAGGAGCCACAAAAACCAUGCAGCGUUCACCUCAGUCUGCGUGUCUAAAGCGAGAUUUCUGCAGUGCCUGUGUCAUAAUUAGGCGUGAGAGCUGCGUGCCCGGAAACACUCGUGAUGUUGCAGGUUGAUCAGAGGUCAGGUGGUCUCAUCUGGUUUCAACAGCUCGGUUUUUUCAGUUAAUUUCUGAUGUGCAUGGCCAUAAGCCCUGGCUAAUUUUAGCUACAUACUUGGAAACAAGCACUUUGAAUCUGUAUUUGUUUUUAUCCCAGCAAAAUGAUAAAGAAAAUUCUUACAUCAUCAAAAAUAUCUUCAUAACACAUUUUUUGAUCAGAAACAACUUUCUUGACCUCUACUUUUUAUAAUAAAAAAUAUAUUUAUAUUUUUGUAUUGCAUUGUAUUUAGUGCAUUUUUAAUAGUAGCAGUCUAAAAUUAGAGUUAUUGUGAAAUAAAAACCAGCUUUACAAAAUUGUAAAAUAUUAAAAAAAAAAAAUCAGCAAUUUACAUUUCUUUAAAAUAAUUUAUGUGGCAGGAGAAUCUAUUUUAUAACAAGGUAUUUAAACAAAACACUUAUCUACAUAAAAAAUAAGAGGGGCGGCAAACUUUACUCUAUUUACCUCCUUUUCAUGUGCCUUGUUAUGGUUCCUCCUCUGUCAUUUUAGAGCAGAUUUUUUUUUUUUCUCUGCAGUUUGGCGAGACAGACUCGCCGUCUUACCCUGCAGGAGAAAAAUGCAGAUGGCAAGAUGCUCCAUUCCCUUCUCAUCUUUUACUCCCCUACCCAUCUUCCCUAUCCCACAUUGCUAAUGAAUCAAGAGAAUUAAUUAGAAUAAAAUAAAAUUAGAUGAGUGGAGUAAUGUGGGGGGAGUGAAAAAAAAAAAAAAAAAAAAGUUCUGUUCUUUUUUGGGGGCAUCUUCUGCUCCUCGUGGACCAUCUGUCCUCUGGCCCGAUACAGUGAGCUUAUGUAAAUCUGAUGAACUAAGAAUGAAGAACUGUUUUGGCCCUGAUGUGUCCGGCGCUCUCCAUGUGUUUGUAUGUGUGUGUUUAUUAGAGUUUGAAUGUCUUAGGCGAAUGUGAUCUCUGUAGGUGUCUCAGCUGGAAGUCCCAGCUGCGUACGGACCCCCGUCCUACACCUGACGCUCAUGACGGCAUCCACGCAGACCAAUGUACGAAGGAACUUUCAAAGGCGUUGAAUGCCCAACUUGCAACCUCUCAAAUCUGAACAAUGAAAAACAAAAAAGGGAUUUAUGUUUUUUAAUAAUAUGUCCUUUUUAAAAAAAUACAAAA